rnacentral:rRNA from 1 species
AGGGGGGCAAGCGUUGUCGGAUUUAUUGGGCGUAAAGGGUGCGUAGGCGGUUUGGCAAGUCUCGUGUGAAAUCUAUGGGCUCAACCCAUAGUCUGCACGAGAAACUACCGGGCUUGAGUGAUGGAGAGGUGAGUGGAAUUUCCGGUGUAGCGGUGAAAUGCGUAGAUAUCGGAAGGAACACCUGUGGCGAAAGCGGCUCACUGGACAUUAACUGACGCUGAUGCACGAAAGCUAGGGGAGCAAACAGGAUUAGAUACCCUGGUAGUCCUAGCCCUAAACGAUGAUUGCUUGGUGUGGCAGGUACCCAAUCCUGCCGUGCCGAAGCUAACGCGAUAAGCAAUCCGCCUGGGGAGUACGGUCGCAAGACUGAAACUCAAAGGAAUUGACGGGGGCCCGCACAAGCGGUGGAGCAUGUGGUUUAAUUCGACGCAACGCGAAGAACCUUACCUGGGCUCGAAAUGCUAGUGAAUCCGGCAGAAACGUCGGCGUCUCGCAAGAGACACUAGUAUAGGUGCUGCAUGGCUGUCGUCAGCUCGUGUCGUGAGAUGUUGGGUUAAGUCCCGCAACGAGCGCAACCCUUAUCUUCAGUUGCUACCAUUUAGUUGAGCACUCUGACGAAACCGCCUCGGAUAACGGGGAGGAACGUGGGAAUGACGUCAGUCCCAUGGCCUUUAUGUCCGGGCUACCACGUGCUUNNCA